GAUGAACGCUGGCGGCGUGCCUAAUACAUGCAAGUCGAGCGAACAGACGAGGAGCUUGCUCCUCUGACGUUAGCGGCGGACGGGUGAGUAACACGUGGAUAACCUACCUAUAAGACUGGGAUAACUUCGGGAAACCGGAGCUAAUACCGGAUAAUAUAUUUAACCGCAUGGUUCAAUAGUGAAAGACGGUUUUGCUGUCACUUAUAGAUGGAUCCGCGCCGCAUUAGCUAGUUGGUAAGGUAACGGCUUACCAAGGCGACGAUGCGUAGCCGACCUGAGAGGGUGAUCGGCCACACUGGAACUGAGACACGGUCCAGACUCCUAGGGGAGGCAGCAGUAGGGAAUCUUACGCAAUGGGCGAAAGCCUGACGGAGCAACGCCGCGUGAGUGAUGAAGGUCUUCGGAUCGUAAAACUCUGUUAUUAGGGAAGAACAAAUGUGUAAGUAACUAUGCACGUCUUGACGGUACCUAAUCAGAAAGCCACGGCUAACUACGUG
rnacentral:rRNA from 1 species